UAGAAAUAUACCGCUAUACUUUACGUGAUCUUUAAGUAUUCAUAAAUCUUUAAUGCAUUUUUAUAUGUUCGCAUCCGUCAUAUAAAUAUAGUCGGAUCGCAUGUGAAAAUAGGUUUAAUUCUACUCGAGAGAGAUUGUUAAACAAAUUAGGAAUAUUGGUCUUCAUAAUUGAAUCGUGUUGUCAAUUUUAUAAAAUUCGGAUUAAAGGGGUUUGAUAUAAG
rnacentral:lncRNA from 1 species